GCGCUCGUGGUGUAGUUUGGUCAACAUAUCAGCUUGCCAUGCUGAAGACCGCCGGUUCGAGUCCGGUCGAGCGCU
rnacentral:tRNA from 1 species